GUAGACGUAGUGUAAUGGUAACACUUACGCUUUGGGAGCGUACAAUGCAAGUUCAAUCCUUGCCGUCCC
rnacentral:tRNA from 1 species